rnacentral:rRNA from 1 species
GCAUUGAAACACCAGCUUCUGUAUGAUCACCGAAGUUAAACAACAUCGAGCCUGGUCAGUACCUAGAUGGGUGACUGCUUGGAAAUACCAGGUGCUGUAAG